GACAAAUGCUGCAUAAUAUUAUGUAGAGGAAAGUCCUUGCUCACACAACCUGAGAUGGUUGUAGUGUUUGUGCUUAGGGAAAAAAUAACCUAAGGUAGAAAUUUAUUUCUAACGGCUCCGAGGAAACCUCAAAUGGUUUUAUUAGGUAUAAAAGUGCCAAAGUGACGAAGAAAAGGGAAACCUUGGAAGUGGAACGUGGUAAACCCCACAAGUGAGAAACCCAAAUUAUGGUAGGGGAGCUAUUCAAACGGAAUCAAACGGGAGAAUGGACCAGUAAUGGUAGAUAAAUAUUUGUCGCGUCGAAAGACGUACAGAACAAGGCUUAUAA
rnacentral:RNase_P_RNA from 1 species